CACGUAGGGGGCAAGCGUUGUCCGGAUUUAUUGGGCGUAAAGAGCUCGUAGGUGGCUCGGCAAGUCGGGUGUUAAACCCCCAGGCUCAACCUGGGGACGCCACUCGAUACUGCUGUGGCUAGAGUCCGGUAGGGGAGCGUGGAAUUCCUGGUGUAGCGGUGAAAUGCGCAGAUAUCGAGGAGGAACACCAGCGGCGAAGGCGGCGCUCGUGGGCCGGUACUGACACUGAGGAGCGAAAGCGUGGGUAGCAAACAGG
rnacentral:rRNA from 1 species